CACGCCUACACCUGAAGCAGAGGGACGGCCUGUCGGAGCUCAGUCAAGUAGGCGAGUGCUCUUUGUUCCCCCGUGGCCUCUGAAGUUACUCUAGAGCUAUGCAGCUCAAGGCCAGCAGAUGGCGCGUGGCGUCAGGCUGCGAGAUAGCGCCGAGACAGCAUGGACGCCGGGAGCCUGGGAAAGCCAACUGUACCACAGGAGUCUAAACUGUAGCUAGGAAUAGAAGUACGCUCAUUUUAGCUAUUAGAAGGUUUGCCUGAUACUCUGGCUCUUUAUUUCGAGGAUGUCUAGCUCACCUGUGAUAUAACUCAGACCCCAUUUCACUCAUUUCUUAAACUAGGAAUGGGGCAGAAUUUCCCAGCAUCUCUUCCAGCUCCCAGGGAGAAGGUCUGGGACCUAUGUUCUACCAACCAAAUACACUCUCAUGAAGCUCUCAUUUGGAAGUCAGCAACAUGCAGACACAGACUGGGUUCUGAGCAUCUAUGGUGCAGAUGAAGAUGAUGGCAGGAGCUGUGGAGGCAGUAGAAUCCUCAUCAAGCCACUUCUGUGCCUCUAGACCUGCAGUAGCAUGAAGAGGUCUGAGGAAGCUGUGCGUCCCUCAAGAAAGCAAUUCUUUAUUGCCCAUCAAAGAUGAAUCCAUAGGGGAUCAUUAACAAGGAGAUCAUCCCAGAGAGCAGCUUCUAGAAUCACCAACCAAACAGAAGAUUUGUCAGAAGAACAAAGACCUCAAAAUGAGAAGGAAUGUGUUCUGGACUUAAAACAUUGCUCAGGUAUCUUAGCAAGGACUGAGACCUUGGAGGUCUCCAAAUACCAGUAAGAAUCAUUGUG
rnacentral:lncRNA from 1 species